AUCAAGAAUGGUCCACUACCCAAAGGACAUGCAGCUAACUUGGCAACUGUGGGAAGUAUUGGCGUCAACAUGGGCCAGCAUCUCUGUGGAACGCUUUCGACACGUUGUAGAGUCCCUGUACCAACGAAUUGAGGCUGUUCCGAGGACAAAAAGGGGGUGCAACUCAAUAUUAGGAAGGUGUUCCUAAUGCUAUGUACACUCAGAGUACAUACAAAAAAAGUGCCAGAAAGUGUUCUCCUGCCAUAAUGUCAAAUAUUUGGAGAAGAUUGAUGUGCAAAUGUGGGACCAAUCUGGGGUGUGGAGUGAGAGACAAGAGGCUAAGUCAACUAUGUGCUUAAUGGCUGUCAUCAGGACUGCUUCAGAGAACUUCCAGCUUCAUAAUCCUUUAAACCCCUAGCUAGGUGCAGAGUUCUGAGUCACUACAUCACCACCAUAAUCCUUUAAACCCCUAGCUAGGUGCAGAGUUCUGAGUCACUACAUCACCACCAUAAUCCUUUAAACCCCUAGCUAGGUGCAGAGUUCUGAGUCACCACCAUAAUCCUUUAAACCCCUAGCUAGGUGCAGAGUUCUGAGUCACUACAUCACCACCAUAAUCCUUUAAACCCCUAGCUAGGUGCAGAGUUCUGAGUCACCACCAUAAUCCUUUAAACCCCUAGCUAGGUGCAGAGUUCUGAGUCACCACCAUAAUCCUUUAAACCCCUAGCUAGGUGCAGAGUUCUGAGUCACUACAUCACCACCAUAAUCCUUUAAACCCCUAGCUAGGUGCAGAGUUCUGAGUCACUACAUCACCACCAUAAUCCUUUAAACCCCUAGCUAGGUGCAGAGUUCUGAGUCACCACCAUAAUCCUUUAAACCCCUAGCUAGGUGCAGAGUUCUGAGUCACCACCAUAAUCCUUUAAACCCCUAGCUAGGUGCAGAGUUCUGAGUCACCACCAUAAUCCUUUAAACCCCUAGCUAGGUGCAGAGUUCUGAGUCACCACCAUAAUCCUUUAAACCCCUAGCUAGGUGCAGAGUUCUGAGUCACCACCAUAAUCCUUUAAACCCCUAGCUAGGUGCAGAGUUCUGAGUCACCACCAUAAUCCUUUAAACCCCUAGCUAGGUGCAGAGUUCUGAGUCACUACAUCACCACCAUAAUCCUUUAAACCCCUAGCUAGGUGCAGAGUUCUGAGUCACUACAUCACCACCAUAAUCCUUUAAACCCCUAGCUAGGUGCAGAGUUCUGAGUCACCACCAUAAUCCUUUAAACCCCUAGCUAGGUGCAGAGUUCUGAGUCACUACAUCACCACCAUAAUCCUUUAAACCCCUAGCUAGGUGCAGAGUUCUGAGUCACUACAUCACCACCAUAAUCCUUUAAACCCCUAGCUAGGUGCAGAGUUCUGAGUCACUACAUCACCACCAUAAUCCUUUAAACCCCUAGCUAGGUGCAGAGUUCUGAGUCACUACAACACCACCAUAAUCCUGCUCACUAUCCAGCUAUGUGACAAUGGGGCAACCAGACGUGACAUUAUAUAUUGUAUU